CUACUACUCCCUCCGUCAGAAAGUACUUGUCAUCAAAAUGGAUAAAAGGGGAUGUAUCUAAAGUAGAUACAUCCCCUUUUAUCCAUUUUGAUGACAAUAUUUUCGGACGGAGGGAGUACAAA
rfam:Triticum aestivum genome assembly, contig: Triticum_aestivum_CS42_TGACv1_scaffold_322011_4BL